rnacentral:rRNA from 1 species
UCUCUUCGGAGAAGAGCGGCGGACGGGUGAGUAACGCGUGGGUAACCUGCCUCAUACACAUGGAUAACAUACCGAAAGGUAUGCUAAUACAGGAUGACAUAAGAGAUUCGCAUGUUUCUCUUAUCAAAGCUCCGGCGGUAUGAGAUGGACCCGCGUCUGAUUAGCUAGUUGGUAAGGUAAUGGCUUACCAAGGCGACGAUCAGUAGCCGACCUGAGAGGGUGAUCGGCCACAUUGGAACUGAGACACGGUCCAAACUCCUACGGGAGGCAGCAGUGGGGAAUAUUGCACAAUGGGCGAAAGCCUGAUGCAGCAACGCCGCGUGAGUGAUGAAGGCCUUCGGGUCGUAAAACUCUGUCCUCAAGGAAGAUAAUGACGGUACUUGAGGAGGAAGCCCCGGCUAACUACGUGCCAGCAGCCGCGGUAAUACGUAGGGGGCUAGCGUUAUCCGGAUUUACUGGGCGUAAAGGGUGCGUAGGUGGUUUCUUAAGUCAGGAGUGAAAGGCUACGGCUUAACCGUAGUAAGCUCUUGAAACUGGGAAACUUGAGUGCAGGAGAGGAAAGUGGAAUUCCUAGUGUAGCGGUGAAAUGCGUAGAUAUUAGGAGGAACACCAGUAGCGAAGGCGGCUUUCUGGACUGUAACUGACACUGAGGCACGAAAGCG